CAUCGGGCGGUAGAAAAAUUAAACCGUAAAACGCAGUCUGACGGUUAGGGAACGAAGUUUACAUAUGGAAGUGCCAACGUCACUUCUUUUCAUUUCAAACCAAUCCUUCAAAUGCUGAACAUGUUGAUAUCUUCAAUGCCAGGAGGGAUGAUGGCAGAUGAGUGCAAGGAUCGGAAACAAUUUUUGAAGGGCUGUGAGACAAAUCAUGCAUUUAGGCUACAUUGGUGCCUUGAAGACGACUAGUUUGGAAGAUUGAUUUCUGACCUCACUUGGUUUUGCACCGGUUGGUUGUAACCUAUCUUCCAGAAUUCGCUGAUUUGAAUGUAAUCGAGGAAUAAAGAGAAGAUUCCAUGCCAAGACAUUUCGUGGAGGAUGGAUGUCGACUGUUACGGCUAUGGAGCCAAUGGAGGAGGCAGUGGGUGUGCAUUACACUAGAUGAGAUACAAUCAUGAAGGUGUUUGCGAUUCUUAGGUAAAUGGACAGUUUUAAUGGUUUCUUUUGGAUUUUUGUGAUGAACAACAGUUUCCUGUGUUUCUGACAACCAUGAAGACCCACUCGAGUCCCUGAUAAUUCAGGCUUUUUAAUAUCAUUUAAUCGGCUGUAAACAAAUAUUGACGAUUUGUUUGGUUCGUUUAUUCAGAUUGUCUUGUUUAACAACCGCCGUCGAUUGUUGAGCUACUGGGCCAAAAACUGGAGUUUCAUUUUCUUUCGUUUCGAGAUGCUGGUGAUUUCAUGAUCUACGUAGUAAUGUGGUAUUGCUUCUUGGUCAACGUCAUUGGAAUCCGAGGAGUUCAUUUUACACAAGAUGGACUGGUUUAUUGUUCGGUGUUUUUUUUUUUUGGCGCCAUCUUCAUAGGAUAUUAGGUUGCUCGGUCGGUUGUCUUGGAGUACUUGGCGAGCAUGUUAUUGGGUCUGACUACGGUCUAUUGGAUUGUUGGAGAUUUUGUUUAUAUACGUUUUCUUGAUAAAUCCCUGUUGUCGAGGGAUAUAUGCGGUGAGACGCUGGAUCUAAUAGUGUCGGCUUAAGGAGUCCUGAGGUGUGUUAAUUUUCGAUCCGUUGCUUAACGUCUGUGGGAUGGUAUGGAGCUAUGAAACUUGCACAAGUUUGUCGCAGUUUUGAAGGUCUUUGGAUUUGGAGCGAAGUUUAUUGUAAAGUUCCGAUACAGCAGUAUGGACGAAAAUGUUACUGGGAAAUUAGUGUCAUUAUGGGAGAAAUUAGUAACAAUAGAUAGACUUAUGAUCUGUGUUUGAUUCUGUUUCCUUUUCCAAUUGCAUAAUACAACAUGAUCACUAUGUGUGUAUAAUCUGCCUGCUUAUUUGAUUAUUUCAUUUCUAAAACUGCUGUUCUAACAAGAUGCUUGAGUUGGUUGUAACCUAUAAACUCAAGUUUAAAGCUAACUUAGGCUGUUAUGCACCUAAAUUUUCUAAUGGUACAUGUGAUAUUCAUUUAAUUAUAUGCCCAGUCUCUGUCAGAUUGGGUUGUGUGGAAAGGAUUUUUCACCUCCACCAUCGUUUAUGAUUGACUUUACAUUUGCUGUUGCCUUGUAGUAUGUAGCCUAAUAGAAUGCUACAAUGAAUAGGAACACAUUCUGAAUAACUGGCAGGUCUACCUUACCAACACUGGGUGUUAUCACUUUCAGCAAUCUAUUCUCCAGCACUGUUGCCCAGGUGCUGAAACGUCUGGAAUCACUUGCAGACAACAUGAACGGAUAUCUGUCUUGAUUGCCUUCUCCUCAGUGUAGAAGUUGAAGUGGCGUUCAAUAUCACCUUGGGGAUUUCGUCUUUUUUGAUGUGUGAUGCUGCGUGUGGCUUUUCGAUGAAAUUUUUCAUGGAGAAUAUUACGAAGGAACAGAAAAGGAAACAGUAGCAUACAAGUAGCCUAUCAUCACUAUACCACCAACUCUUUUAUUAAAAAUCUUCAUUCUGCUGAAUGCAUCAUACAGUUAAUACAGUUUCUAUUGAUCUCGGUAGGUCACUACCCCAGUGUGGACAUGUUUGUUUUUCUGAACAUGUUUUUCAGCAAAUAAUUCAUUGACGUACAAGGAAAGCUAUGAAAAAUAUCAUCAUCUAGGCCAUGG